rnacentral:lncRNA from 1 species
ACAUGGAGGUUCCCAGGCUAGGAGUCAAAUUGGAGCUAUAGCUGCAGGCCUACACCACAGCCACAGCAAUGUGGGAUCUGAGCUGUAUCUGCAACCUACACCACAGCUCAGGGCAAUGCCAGAUCCUUAACCCACUGGGCGAGGCCAGGGAUCGAACCCACGUCCUCAUGGAUGCUGAUCAGAUUCGUUGAGCAUGGAGCCACGACGGGAACUCCAUGGUGUCCUGUUUAAGAUUAGAUGUGUUAGUGACUGUGAAGGGCAUAGAACAAAACCUGUAUCUGAUGCAUUGGGAAGACCAGGUGCUUGUAAAACAAAGACACAUAAAAUGUAGAUUUGAAACUUUUCUCAAAACGUUAUUGUCAGUAAAUAAUUGGCCUUUAACCUCAGGACAGAGUGAGCCAUGUUGCCACACACGGACAGCAGUGAGCCCACAUGCUCACCGGGUGAUUAAUGUCACCUUUGUAAACAUAACAUGACCUUAUCUGCUCUUUCUUAUCAUCCCAACAAUUUGGGAAGAUAACUAGGAAUAAUAAUUAUAGUAGCAAAUAUACAGCCAUUUUUAAAAAUUCCAUUUUAUGGUUAUUUAGAACUUUAUGGCAAAGUAGUAACAAGGCCAAAACUUAUUUAUUUUUUAUUCCUACAAACAAACCCCAUUUUAAGUUGUGAACUGGAACUUCUUUUUUAUGUUCAAUACAUUACUGAACUUGAUGGUAUCAGAAGUUUAUGGCUUUUAAAUCUAGAAUAUAUUAUGAAUUUGAUAAAGGGCACUUUUUCUCUUAUUAGAAAUCUGAAAAUCCUUCCAUUUUCCAAACACGAACUCAUGAAAAUAAAAAAUUCUGGCAGUGGUCAGUCUCACUACACCGCCCUAGUCCUAGUGACCUCAGCACUAGACUUUUAAACUUCUAAGUAAAUGCUAAGGUCCACAUUUAGUCAAGUUUUUAACUAAAACAAGUUAAAAUAGAAGAGAGAGAACCUUUCUUGCCAGUUCUAUUCAGUAGCAUGUUAAUCAGAUUGCAGUAAUAAGUAUCAAACAAUGCAUGCAAUUAGCAGUGGUUAAUUUGAAACUACUUCAUGUCAGUUUCUUUCAGAGCAAUACGUUAGUAGAGUAAUUAUUUAUUACCCUGAGGACAUGAUCAAUGAUAUCCCUCCCUAACAACGGCUGCAAAGGAGUAGCAUUUUCAUCUGCAUAAAAAGGAAGCUAUAGAAACUCAUAUAUUUUCGGCUAAGUAAAAGGAGAAAACUGUUUCUAAGCUAUUUCCAACUAUUUCAUUAAUAAUGAUAAACAAACCAUUUGUUACACUUCACUAUUUUUAUGGUAACAUAAUGUCGAGGGGGGAAAAAAAACAGCAUUAGUGAUUUAAAUCUGCAAAGCCUACCUUUAUUCAGAAAGGGAAAAAUGACCCAUUUCUAAAUGUCAUUAUAGUCGUGAAUGUGUAUGCGCUAGGCCCUUCCACACACAAUAAUUCACUAGUCCCUUAGCCAGAGCUUGGGGAAGGAAUUUAUGGGACGCCCUGAGUGGUAACACAUGGUCUACACAGCUGAGCCAUGGCUGUCCAAAGUCAAGGAAGAGAUGCCAGGUUAGCCAGGUGGCUGCAAUUAGAUGGUGCAUUUAAAUAAUUGGGAAGGUUGCAUUAGGGGCUACCAUCUCAGCUUUCGGAGUUCACUAUAGAUUGGAUAAGAAAUUCUUUGUCUUCAUAUCCGAUUAAUGUACCUUAUUGUAUAAAAUACCCAUUAUUCUGAGAAGGACCAGAAAAAACUCAACUUUUGGAAGAACAUAGUAAGUCUACACCAUGGAGGGAGGGAAAUACAGAAUGGAGUAGGCUGGAAAGAACAACACCAGAAGUUGGAACAAGCAGAAUUGGUGAGAACAACCCACAGGCCUGAGAUGGGGCUGCCAUGUUACAUAAUUCCAGGAGCCCCUGUUCACGAGGAGAAUGGCACUCCCAGGAGUUGGGCAGCUGGCAGCCAGCACAGCCACACGUGGAAACCCAGCCUGAGAGGAUGAUCAGGGGAGAGGAGCCCUAUAUGGAGUAGGUACACACCUUUAUCAAGGCCUCCGAGGCAGAUACCAAUGUCAAGAUCCAGUUCAGGAGGACCAAAAAGGGAGAUGGAAAGGUUUUGGAAUUUAGGUGAGGCAAGGAUCUAAAAAAGGUAUUCAGUCGACCUCAGAAGUUGGCCAUUCAGGGGAGACCUCAUAGCUUCAAGAGGGUCAAAGAUAAAACUAAACUAAGAAGUUACCAAUUCUGCACUGUAUACCUAGAAAGCCAGCACGGUAUAUAAUGUGUAAAAGAAAAGAGCCCAACCCUUUCAAAAGUAUAAAGUGGAAAUAGUAGUUUUUCCUGGAAUAAAACUGUUUUAAUUUUAAGGGCGUUGGAAGUUUUGCAGAGAAUCGUGUGGGUGGUGAACGCCUGUGUGGUGACCCCCCAGCAGCUCCCUUCUUCGGGAACAGCAUUCCCUUUCCGAGAACUGUUCUUCCACUCUGAAUUUUAAUUCUGCUGGAUAUGGUUCCACUCAUGUAAGACUCGGGCUACCCGACCAUAUUUUAUUAGUCUGAGUGUGGGAGCCUUACCUGCCUGGUAAGCCAGUUUAAGUUCUUUUGCGUAAUGUUUUGCAUUCGAAUAGCAAAGACCGCAGCAUCUGGUGUGGGACCCAGGAAAUGUGAAGCUAAGAACCGUCAGCAGCCGUGGUCUCCACCGUAUGGAGGACGCUGGUCCGAGGUAGGUCACAAAAGAACUUGCACACAAAGAGGACAGAGAGGCUCUGCUGGCAUUCGGGUCUCUGCUUUUAUUGUCCCUGAGACCAGACCCAGCUGAAUCCUUUCCCUUCCUAAAGUGUAUUUAGUCAACUCUUCAUCUCCUUAUACCCACCGGUUUUCUUCCAAUUCCCUUCUUGCCUUAGAACUAGGUCUCCAACUGAAGCAGAAUAUAAUGUCCUUGGCUUAGCACCAAAAGAAAAAGGAAAAGGAGAAAAGGAAGGAAGGAAAAAAGGCAACACAUUGAACAUAAAAUCUGCUUGAGGUUACAGAUUGUACUGCCUUACAGGUGAGUUCUUCACUGUCUUCUAAUUGCUUCAGGUUUACAUUCACUGUAUUUCACUAAAUGCUUUCUGACGCUCUGAGUAAAGGGAAUAUACAUUGUAUAUACCAGCAUCACUAACAGAAUGUACUACGGGUCCAGGCUGAAAACAGUAACCCAAGGAGUACUGACUGAUUCACUUAUCAAAUAAUUUGCUUUUCGACCAUUCACUUCUAACUUUUUCAGGACCGUGGGUUACUACUUAGUGCACUAAAAGUAAUGACUUCCUAAUAGUGUGCCAAUGAUACACAAGAUUUAAGGUACCUCUGGGGGGCCAUCACCAGUUUUUCCAUUAGAUUGGGCACAAUAUUGGUAUCAUUCCGUGUGCUACUAAUGUGGCAAGAAUGAGUUCACUUCAAGAAAACAUGAAGCAUAAAGUGGGAUUUUUAGACAUAGUCUUAGUUUAUCCACCAACCAAUCAACUUAGUAAAACCCAGAGUUACGGUCAAAUCCCAGACAUCUAAGCAGAAAAGUCCUGAGAGUCAAGUUGUUGAGAUAUUUCAGACGUCUUGUCUAGUAAAUGGGCUAAGUACAGUUGGCAGCAAUAGAGAAACGUUUCCUCUUUGAUUUUAUUAACUGAUUGAUAUGAAUUAAUGCAUUAGGAUAUCUGAUUGUGUCAUAAAAUGUGUAUAUGAGCCUCAUGAUUCAAUUUAAUGUACCUAUUACUGGUUGAUGUGCCAUUAUAUUAAGCUAAAUUAAAAUAAUUUUAUGGAAAAAUUACAAUUAAAGACUCAAAAUUGAUUGCAUUCAUAACUUAAAAAAAGACAUUCUGUUCCAUUAAUAUUUUGAAUAAUUGUAAUAAUAUAUCAGAAAACAAUGCAGGAAACUCAGGAGGUAGACAAAGUAAAGUAAAAAUAAAUAGAUAAAAGAGUCAAAAGUAAGGCCUACUUUCUAAGUUAAAUUCAUUAUUUUAUCUCGAGCCAGAGUUUUUAAGUAUGGAGAGAAUAAGAAAAGUCACAAGAGUUAACAGCUUAUAUCAGCAAGUAAGUUUUAGAUCACACUAUCACAAAAGAGAUUAAUUUUCUUUCUUUCAUCUUCCAAAUUACAAAAUAAAUUAUUUCCAAAUACAGCAUUUUAAUUUUUAAUGAUGUUUUUGUAGUUAAUAAGGUGACACUCUGCCCAGACCAUGUCAGUUCUCCUAACGCAAAUGUGUCUGCUGAAGGACAGUGAACCAUCCCUGUUCAGCCAAGACUGAGCGGUUUCCAGGGGAUGGGACAAUCCCUCUGGUUAACUGGGAUGGCUGGGCAUCUUCUACAUACAAAUUAUUUGGCUUUAAUGUAAACUUAAGCAUCCAGAAGUUGACUUGGAAAAUGCUGUGAUUUACUUCUGAAGAUGUAAGCAUGCUUCUCGCCCAUUAUAAGUAGAUGCUGAUUCAAUAGGGGACUAUAGCACCAGCGUAUUUGAGUUUUUCUAAUAAUUCUCGAUUCUCUUACUUCGAUUCUCUUACUUCUUACUUCUCUUACUUCGAAAGGACAGAGAAGGAUUUCUGAUGAGAAAAUGUUCUACCCUUCGUAUUGGGAGUGUGGUCCAAGGACCAAGCACAUCAGGACCACUUGGGAGCUUGUUAGAAAUUCACACUCCAGACCCAUUCGGUCAGAAUCCACAACAAUAACAAAUUCACAGGUGCUUCAUAAGGACACUAGAGCUUAAAAAGCCCUGCUGUGAACUCUUCGGCAAGAAUUUGCUAAAAGGACUCCAAUUUUUCUCUCCUGUCAAUUAUUAUCUGUUGUCAGCUUUCUUCGGAAUCCCUGUCUGUUCUCUACAAGGCUCAUUAGCAGCCUCACUAGCUCAGGUGCAAUGAAUUUGGGAUUUGUAAUCAACUGACCCGGGCUGUACUAAUAAUUCUGCCCUGCAACCUCUGUUCUGCAUUUGAAGGAGAGUCUCUGAGAAGAGGACAUACUUAACCAAUUUACGAAAGGAAACUCUUUAACAUUUAACAAGUUAAUUUUCACAAAGUAAUGGAUGCUAUGUGUACAUUAGAGUGGCCUAACUUGUAGGAUAUUUGUUGGCAGAUUUGUUGUUUGCAGGCAAUUCAAGUAAGUGAAAGAACGCUGCAUGGGAUAAGAAAAUAUUCUCAUAGCCUUCCUUCAGCCUGAUUUUGUUCAGUUUUUUGUUUUUCGCUUUUUAGGGCUACAUGUGCACCAUAUGGAGGUUCCCAGGCUCGGGGUUGAAUCAGAGCUGCAGCUGCCAGCCUACACCACAGCCACAGCAACGCCAGAUGGGAGCCAUGUCUGCAACCUAUACCAUAGCUCACCACAACGCCAGAUCCUUAACCACUGAGUGAGGCCAGGGGAUCAAACCCUCAUCCUCAUGGAUACUAGUCUGGUGUGUUACCACUGAGCCAGGACAGGUACUCCCUUAACCAGCCAUGGUGUUUUAGGUCUCCUUGCUUUGCCAUUUUAUUCUGCUUGGAGCCUCUCCCUACCAUCCUUAACCCCCAAGACUGUUGUUUGAUUCAUCCUCAUUCUUCAAAUGUCACUUAAGUAUUAUGCCCUGCUCCUUUAAAAUCUUCUCAUCUCAGUUUAUGUUGCUUUGCUGUCCAUCUACUAGAAUAUUAAUAAGGGGAUCUCCAAGUUGUUAUUCAAUUGAUUGCUGAUUGUUCAUUUUUAUAUCUUUAGGGAAUUUCACUUUAAAAGUCACUUUAAUGAGACACGGCAUAUGACCUACUAUGCGAGCUUUGAAAGAAGGGAGCCAUCGAAAGUCAAUAAAGGCUAGAGGGCCUUACCUACCUCUGUAGGAAGUGAGUAGGAAAGGGAGAGACACAUUUUGACUCCAUUCAUACCACAUUGGUCUGUUCCUUUGUUUCUGGGUGAUGGAAAAAUUAAAUUGGGAAUUUUAACUCCAAAGUAUCCAAAAGGGAUAGGUCACUAGCCAUCAUUAUGAAUCUGCAGACAGUAGUUCUACAAGACUCAUCUAUCCACAAUGUGAAGCCAGAUUCGGGAGGAAUUAAGUUCUCACACACCUCUGAUACGUUGUCUUAUACUAAAAGGCUAGUAUUACAGCAGCUACAUUAAUUAUCAACCAUUCCAAAGCUUAAGAAUUACUCUAUUGUCAUUUUGACUGGGGGAGGGAGUAUGUAAGGGGUUCUGUCAUUUCUAGCAACCAGGAAAGACCAAGGUGACUUUGGUGAGGAAGCUGCCUUGUGAUACUAUCACUGCCAGCAAUUAGCCACAGUUAGUAAGCUUCUAUUAAUCAAAUCCACAUCUGGAAAGACUUUCACUAAUUCUGUGAGAUGAACAGUGUUGUUUGCAAAAUUUAAAGGACUAAAGGUAACACUGCAUAACUUUAAAAGCCAACACAAAGGAAACAGAAAAAAACCUCAUCAUUAAUGCUUAGAUAAUCUUAUUUAAUCAAAACUAUUCUCUAUAAAAUUAUAUAUCACUUAUAUAUACACACAAAAGAAUGAUUAAAACUAUUCUUUUUGACAAAACUGGAAGCUCCAAGAUAAAAAACUUUAAGCUAUUUUAUAUCUGUUUCUCUCACAUGCUGAUUAACAAGAUGCUAUAGUAAAUGCCCGAGCACACUGUAAAGAAAUAAGCAAAGAAAUGGGAAUAAAUAUCCCUAAUAGGAACAAA